UACGUAGGGGGCUAGCGUUGUCCGGAUUUAUUGGGCGUAAAGGGCGCGUAGGCGGCUCGACACGUUCGUUGUGAAAUCGCCCGGCUCAACUGGGCGGGGUCAGCGAAUACGGUCGAGCUUGAGCAAGCUAGGGGGCAAUGGAAUUCCCGGUGUAGUGGUGGAAUGCGUAGAUAUCGGGAGGAACACCAGUGGCGAAGGCGGUUGCCUGGGGCUUUGCUGACGCUGAUGCGCGAAAGCGUGGGGAGCGAUCCGG
rnacentral:rRNA from 1 species